rnacentral:rRNA from 1 species
UACGUAGGGUGCAAGCGUUGUCCGGAAUUAUUGGGCGUAAAGAGCUCGUAGGCGGUUUGUCGCGUCGAAUGUGAAAACCCGGGGCUCAACCCCGGGCCUGCAUUCGAUACGGGCAGACUAGAGUUCGGUAGGGGAGUCUGGAAUUCCUGGUGUAGCGGUGAAAUGCGCAGAUAUCGGGAGGAACACCGGUGGCGAAGGCGGUUCUCUGGGCCUGUACUGACGCUGAGGAGCGAAAGCGUGGGGAGCGAACAGG